UAUGUGAUCGUCUCUCGCAUAUCAAUAAGCGGAGGAAAAGAAACUAACAAGGAUUCCCUUAGUAACGGCGAGUGAAGCGGGAAGAGCUCAAAUUUGAAAUCUUCAAGGUUUUACCUUGACGAAUUGUAGUUUAAAGAAGUGUUUUUCUGCUGAAGUUUUGGUAAAAGUUCUUUGGAAUAGGACAUCAUAGAGGGUGAGAAUCCCGUAUUUGACCAUUAUUUUCAGCUUUGUGAUACACUUUCAAAGAGUCGGAUUGUUUGGGAAUGCAGUCCAAAAUGGGUGGUAAAUUUCAUCUAAAGCUAAAUAUUGGCGAGAGACCGAUAGCGAACAAGUACCGUGAGGGAAAGAUGAAAAGAACUUUGAAAAGAGAGUUAAACAGUACGUGAAAUUGUCAAAAGGGAAGCGUUUGACACCAGUGUUGUUUUCUCGAAAAUCAAUCAAAAAUGGCUCGAUUUUGUAUUGCUGAGACCUUAAAAGCUCACUGUACAUUUUUCGUGUCUUUUUUAAUGCACUUUUCGUUUAACAAGUCAACAUCAGUUUCUUUUGUUGUAAAAGGGUCAUUGGAAGGUGGCUUUCUUUUCGGAGAAAGUGUUUAUAGCCUUUGGCCUCUGCAAUCGAAGAGACUGAGGUCUGCAGCGUAGACUCUUCGGGGUUAGAUACAUCUGUGCUAAGUUAUAGCUUUUUAUAGACAACUUGUUGACUAUAAUUAGUCUUGUAGCUUACUCGCUUAUGCUAUUUUACCUACGCUUAGGAUGUUGACGAUCAGCUGAGCGCG
rnacentral:rRNA from 1 species